rnacentral:rRNA from 1 species
AUGUGCGCCAAUGUACUGAUGUGUAUAGAAUUUGCAUGCGACAUUCCUGAAGUAAUUGGAACUGCUUUUGCUUUGAACAUGCGCUUCAAAAUUCUGAUAUGGUGUGGUGUUCUCAUAACUGGGCUCAGCACUCUGAUGCUCCUGUUCCUGCAACAAUACAGGCUGAAAAAGCAUGUGGUAACAAUCCAUGGCUAUAAGGAAGGCCUGUCAUUACAGGAUGUUGCCCAGCAACCUAUUAGCUACUUGACUUCCAUUAUUUCCUUCGAUGGUCCAUGCCCAACGUCUCUUGAUCACUCAGUUCUAAUUGUGCCAUAUGGGUCCGAAGGUGGCAGUAAUUACUGUAUUGUGAAAAAUUCUUGGGGGGAAUAUGGGUCCGAAACACUGGCACGUGUCAGCAUGAAGAAAGAUUGUAGUUCGCAAAUGGUGAUGGCGAUGGAGAAGGAUCCAUUGCGUCCCUUGCCUUGGGGCUACUUAUACCACACGACUCAUAUAACCUGGAGCAGUAUGGCCGAUCGGCAAAGGCGUGAUCAUGCUCAGGAAGCAAUUGAUGUGAAGGAAGCAGACAUGGACAUUCAACAUGCUGAAUUUUUGGCCUCGACAGUGUUUGCGAAUGCGUAUGCUGAGAAGAUAGAAUCGAAACUGAGGACGGUUUCAUUUCAAUGGGGAGAGGAUGUGUACGUGAGCAGGUUUAAAUGGUGGGAUUUGCUGUCCUUGAGAAACAUUGGAUGA